rnacentral:rRNA from 1 species
UAAGUGGCGAACGGGUGAGUAACACGUGGGCAAUCUGCCCUUCACUCUGGGACAAGCCCUGGAAACGGGGUCUAAUACCGGAUAUCACUCCUGCAGGCAUCUGCGGGGGUCGAAAGCUCCGGCGGUGAAGGAUGAGCCCGCGGCCUAUCAGCUUGUUGGUGAGGUAAUGGCUCACCAAGGCGACGACGGGUAGCCGGCCUGAGAGGGCGACCGGCCACACUGGGACUGAGACACGGCCCAGACUCCUACGGGAGGCAGCAGUGGGGAAUAUUGCACAAUGGGCGAAAGCCUGAUGCAGCGACGCCGCGUGAGGGAUGACGGCCUUCGGGUUGUAAACCUCUUUCAGCAGGGAAGAAGCGAAAGUGACGGUACCUGCAGAAGAAGCGCCGGCUAACUACGUGCCAGCAGCCGCGGUAAUACGUAGGGCGCAAGCGUUGUCCGGAAUUAUUGGGCGUAAAGAGCUCGUAGGCGGCUUGUCACGUCGAUUGUGAAAGCCCGAGGCUUAACCUCGGGUCUGCAGUCGAUACGGGCUAGCUAGAGUGUGGUAGGGGAGAUCGGAAUUCCUGGUGUAGCGGU